rnacentral:rRNA from 1 species
AUUGAACGCUGGCGGCAUGCCUUACACGUGCAAGUCAAACGGCAGCACGGGUGCUUGCACCUGGUGGCGAGUGGCGAACGGGUGAGUAAUACAUCGGAACGUACCUUAUCGUGGGGGAUAACGCAGCGAAAGCUGUGCUAAUACCGCAUACGCCCUGAGGGGGAAAGCGGGGGAUCGAAAGACCUCGCGCGAUUAGAGCGGCCGAUGCCUGAUUAGCUUGUUGGUGGGGUAAAAGCCCACCAAGGCGACGAUCAGUAGCUGGUCUGAGAGGACGAUCAGCCACACUGGGACUGAGACACGGCCCAGACUCCUACGGGAGGCAGCAGUGGGGAAUUUUGGACAAUGGGGGCAACCCUGAUCCAGCAAUGCCGCGUGAGUGAAGAAGGCCUUCGGGUUGUAAAGCUCUUUUGUCAGGGAAGAAACACCGGCUCUAACACAGUCCGGGAAUGACGGUACCUGAAGAAUAAGCACCGGCUAACUACGUGCCAGCCGCCGCUGUAA